rnacentral:misc_RNA from 1 species
GAGCAAGUCCACAUUGAGUAGUACCCUUAGACCAGCAGUGGUCAGUUACAGGCCGCAUUCUGCAGCUUCGAGACUGCUUCUUUAUCACAAAACCACACAAACUCCCCAUCCUCCAAGGAAAUCAUCUGCACCGGCAGUAAAUCAGAAGAUCCAUCUGGGCACCCGAGAGCCUUAGCCACAGCAUCAACCUCACCACCCCCCACAACCACCAUCGCCACAUAUGCCGCGGCAUUGAUCAGCGGAAAAGUAAAUGUUAUCCUCUCAGGCGGCGGCUUCGGGGAAUCCUUUAUGAAG